rnacentral:ncRNA from 18 species
AAACUGAAUAAAACAGCGGGUGUCAGACCGGAUGUGAUCCGGGUCUGGUGAAAAGGGAAACAGGUGUGAAUCCUGUACGAACUCGUCACUGUAUUUAGGGAGCGGAGGCCAUGUUCUGCCACUGGGAAACCGGGAAGGCGGCCGAUGCGAUGAUCUAUGAGCCAGGAGACCUGCCCGGCUGUUGUACGGGAAC